GGGUGCUUAGCUCAGCUGCGAGAGCACCGCUUUUACAAGGCGGGGGUCGGGGGUUCAAAUCCCUCAGCACCCA
rnacentral:tRNA from 1 species